UCCGCUACCACCUACAGCGGCGGGGGCCCCUUCCCCACGUUGACCAGGAAGCACGGAGUCCGUUGCCUCCUGGUGCCUGCCUCACCCUAAUUGAGACCUA